AAAAGUGAAGCAAAUUUUGCAGUCAGUUUCGACCUGAAAAAAGGACAAUCACUCCCACUUUUA
rnacentral:tRNA from 1 species